GAUGAAGAACGCAGCGAAAUGCGAUACGUAAUGUGAAUUGCAGAAUUCAGUGAAUCAUCGAGUCUUUGAACGCACAUUGCGCCCCCUGGUAUUCCGGGGGGCAUGCCUGUCCGAGCGUCAUUGCUGCCCUCAAGCACGGCUUGUGUGUUGGGCCUCCGUCCUCCUCCCGGGGGCCGGGCCCGAAAGGCAGCGGCGGCACCGCGUCCGGUCCUCGAGCGUAUGGGGCUUCGUCACCCGCUCUUGUAGGCCCGGCCGGCGCUUGCCGACACAUCAAUCUUUUUUCCAGGUUGACCUCGGAUCAGGUAGGGAUACCCGCUGAACUUAAGCAUAUCAAUAAGCGGAGGA
rnacentral:misc_RNA from 1 species